rnacentral:rRNA from 1 species
UACGUAGGGUGCGAGCGUUGUCCGGAAUUAUUGGGCGUAAAGAGCUUGUAGGCGGUUUGUCGCGUCUGCCGUGAAAAGCCCAGGGCUUUAACCCUGGGUCUGCGGUGGGUACGGGCAGACUAGAGUGUGGUAGGGGGAGACUGGAAUUCCUGGUGUAGCGGUGGAAUGCGCAGAUAUCAGGAGGAACACCAAUGGCGAAGGCAGACUCUGGGCCUAACUGACGCUGAGGAGCGAAAGCAUGGGGAGCAACAGG